rnacentral:rRNA from 1 species
GAUGAACGCUGGCGGCGUGCCUAAUACAUGCAAGUCGAGCGAACAGACGAGGAGCUUGCUCCUCUGACGUUAGCGGCGGACGGGUGAGUAACACGUGGAUAACCUACCUAUAAGACUGGGAUAACUUCGGGAAACCGGAGCUAAUACCGGAUAAUAUAUUGAACCGCAUGGUUCAAUAGUGAAAGACGGUUUUGCUGUCACUUAUAGAUGGAUCCGCGCCGCAUUAGCUAGUUGGUAAGGUAACGGCUUACCAAGGCGACGAUGCGUAGCCGACCUGAGAGGGUGAUCGGCCACCCUGGAAUUGAGACACGGUCCAGACUCCUACGGGAGGCAGCAGUAGGGAAUCUUCCGCAAUGGGCGAAAGCUUGACGGAGCAACGCCGCGUGAGUGAUGAAGGUCUUCGGAUCGUAAAACUCUGUUAUUAGGGAAGAACAAAUGUGUAAGUAACUAUGCACGUCUUGACGGUACCUAAUCAGAAAGCCACGGCUAACUACGUG